UACGUAGGGUGCAAGCGUUUGUCCGGAAUUAUUGGGCGUAAAGAGCUCGUAGGUGGCCUGUCGCGUCGGCUGUGAAAACUCGGGGCUCAACUCCGAGCUUGCAGUCGAUACGGGCAGGCUAGAGUUCGGCAGGGGAGACUGGAAUUCCUGGUGUAGCGGUGAAAUGCGCAGAUAUCAGGAGGAACACCGGUGGCGAAGGCGGGUCUCUGGGCCGAUACUGACACUGAGGAGCGAAAGCGUGGGGAGCGAACAGG
rnacentral:rRNA from 1 species